rnacentral:lncRNA from 1 species
UUCUGGUUGGGAAAACUGUAACUCAGAAGAAUUUAGUAAUUCAUUUGAGAUCACUCAACAGUAGAAAGGUGUUUUCUCUCUCCUGAAAUAAGCCUUGACUCUAUUUGAUCUGCAGAGCCUUGGCAUGAAGAAUAUUUUAUGUUUCUUCUGUGAAGUAAAAAGGCAAGUCUUGUUGACUGAUGGUGAUUAACCAUAAUAAAGAUGCCUCAGUCAUAACAUGAACAUUGAAUAUAGGAUAUCAUCUGCUCAGAAGCAGACCCGAGUAAUCCAAAUGACAGACUGUGAUAUGAAGCUCAGUGAUGCCAGGCUUCUGUGUGAAGACUCAGAUGCUCAAAAAGUAACAGAGAAGCUCUAGAAAGGUUAUUUGUGCCUCCAUUAUGGAAACUUCUUCUGAGCUUAGGAGUAAUGUUAUGGGAGAAAUGCAAAUAAAGAGUGCCUGCUG